AUUGAACGCUGGCGGCAGGCCUAACACAUGCAAGUCGAGCGAGCGGCGGACGGGUGAGUAAUGUCUGGUAAACUGCCUGAUGGAGGGGGAUCACUACUGGAAACGGUAGCUAAUACCGCAUACCAUCAGAUGUGCCCAGCUGGGAUUAGCUAGUAGGUGGGGUAACGGCUCACCUAGGCGACGAUCCCUAGCUGGUCUGAGAGGAUGACCAGCCACACUGGAACUGAGACACGGGCCAGACUCCUACGGGAGGCAGCAGUGGGGAAUAUUGCACAAUGGGCGAAAGCCUGAUGCAGCCAUGCCGCGUGUGUGAAGAAGGCUUUCGGGUUGUAAAGCACUUUCAGCGGGGAGGCGUUACCAGAAGAAGAAGCACCGGCUAACUCCGUGCCAGCAGCCGCGGUAAUAC
rnacentral:rRNA from 1 species